UUUUAUGGAGAGUUUGAUCCUGGCUCAGGAUGAACGCUGGCGGCGUGCCUAAUACAUGCAAGUCGAGCGAACGGACGAGAAGCUUGCUUCUCUGAUGUUAGCGGCGGACGGGUGAAUAACACGUGGAUAACCUACCUAUAAGACUGGGAUAACUUCGGGAAACCGUAGCUAAUACCGGAUAAUAUUUUGAACCGCAUGGUUCAAAAGUGAAAGACGGUCUUGCUGUCACUUAUAGAUGGAUCCGCGCUGCAUUAGCUAGUUGGUAAGGUAACGGCUUACCAAGGCAACGAUGCAUAGCCGACCUGAGAGGGUGAUCGGCCACACUGGAACUGAGACACGGUCCAGACUCCUACGGGAGGCAGCAGUAGGGAAUCUUCCGCAAUGGGCGAAAGCCUGACGGAGCAACGCCGCGUGAGUGAUGAAGGUCUUCGGAUCGUAAAACUCUGUUAUUAGGGAAGAACAUAUGUGUAAGUAACUGUGCACAUCUUGACGGUACCUAAUCAGAAAGCCACGGCUAACUACGUGCCAGCAGCCGCGGUAAUACGUAGGUGGCAAGCGUUAUCCGGAAUUAUUGGGCGUAAAGCGCGCGUAGGCGGUUUUUUAAGUCUGAUGUGAAAGCCCACGGCUCAAC
rnacentral:rRNA from 1 species